UUAAAAGUACAAUUUAAUACUCACGGUAUUGUGAGUGCCCUUUAAAAAAAAAUCAAAACAUGUAACAUGACACAACAUUUAAGUUUUAAAAUGUAAGGCGUACCGUUCAGAGUUUUAAGAUUGCAGAACGCUGAUGUAGGCCUACUUUAAAAACGAAAGAAUGACGCAGCGGGGAAGUGCUGAACCGCAACGUUUACCAUGAGAGACGUCUCUCUGAGGCAGAACCACGGGUUGGAGGCUGCCUCUCGGUGUGGAUACUUCAUAUAUCCAGCUAUAUUUAAACAUCCAACGUGGUGAAGCCCUCUAACACUGAAGUACUAGUGGUACUCCGAUGAGACUGUAGUCGCCUACUCUGAAGAGACUUUACUAUUCUGUUGAGACUUUAUAAUGAUACUCUACUACUCUGAUGAGAGUGUAGUAGGCCUACACCCUCUCCCUCUCCUCUCUAAAUGUGUUUUUAUGAAUGCUUUUCAUUGUUCGUCCCUGAUUAUAAUUCCUUGGUCUUUUCUCCGACAUUAUCGGGUGCUGAUACAAAAAUACAAAUAAAAGUACCAAUAAAUUCUGCUGCGGUGGUUUAGAAGCUCGGAGCGUCCGUGGUCAGUGUCGUCACACCGGUCUCCAUGACAACCAGGCAAACCAAAACUAGGGAAUUACAAUUCUAUGUAAAUCUCUUAUGGCAAACCUUCUUAAUCAUGAUCAAUGUCAUUCAAGUAUCCCUCGAAGGUGUGUAGAAACAGACAACAUCUCACCCUUUCACAGUCCUGCAAACGAAAGAGGAAAGUUCCGUCGUACAUCUCCUUGAUAUUUCCUCUCACAAAACUCCCCAGAAAAGAGAAGAAAAGACAUGCAGUUGGCCCCUGGCCCCAGCAGGGGGCCACAGUGGGGCCUGGUACUAAGGCUGACGUCACAGUGUCAGCGCUACAUCGGGGCGUAUUCUUAAAAGGAAAAGAGAAGAAGAAGCCACAUUCAUCCACGCAAAAACACAAAGAUAUUAUUAACAGCAAAAGUGCGAGGGUCCUGCAGUCCGCACGCCCUGGGGCAGAUAGUCACGCCCUGGGGCAGAUAGUCCUGUAGCGUGGGGCAGCUAGAUAGUCACGCUCGGGGGCAGAUAGUCACGCUCGGGGGCAGAUAGACCCUCCGCGGGGCAGACAGUCCUGCCGCGCGGGGCAGACGUCGUGUCUAGACGUCGGUGGUGCGGAUGCCGUCCUCGUCCAGGCUGAAGGGGAAGGCGUGGCCGGCGGAGGGCUGGGAGCGGUGGCGGCGCCGCCCGCUGGACCACGCCCGGGAGAGGACCCCCCCCUCGGGCGGGGCCGGGGGGGCAUCGGCCGGGCCGGGGGGGGGCGGGGCGGCGGAGAGGGAGUUGGAGGAGGAGGAGGAGGAGGAGUUGGAGGAGGAGGAGAGGGAGGGCCCGACCGUCAGGGUGCCGAAGGGGCCCGGCCCCUCGUCGGGGUCCAGGGCGGGGGCCCCUCGCUUGGGCAGCGGGGUCCAGGGCUGCCAGCCGGGGGCCACGGAGCAGGACUUCAGGAGCUGGGGCCUCCAGUCCUCCGGGGGGGGGCCCUGGGCGCUGCGGUACAGGGAGGAGCCGCGCUGGAAUGGGGGCCCUGGGGAGGAGGGGGG
ensembl:lncRNA